GCCUGGGUGGCUCAGUCGGUUAAGCGUCCGACUUCGGCUCAGGUCAUGAUCUCACAGCUCGUGGGUUCGAGCCCCACGUCGGGCU
rnacentral:tRNA from 1 species